rnacentral:rRNA from 1 species
UACGUAGGCGGCUUGGAAAGUUGGGUGUGAAAUCCCUCGGCUCAACCGAGGAACUGCACUCAAAACUGCCAGGCUUGAGGGAGAUAGAGGUAAGCGGAACUCAGGGUGGAGCGGUGGAAUGCGUUGAUAUCCUGGGAACACCAGUUGCGAAGGCGGCUUACUGGGUCUCUUCUGACGCUGAGGUACGAAAGCUAGGGGAGCGAACAGGAUUAGAUACCCUGGUAGUC